rnacentral:rRNA from 1 species
UAUCGCGUAGGGAUUUAUCGUUGGGUGGGGGAUAACCGUGGGAAACUGCGGCUAAUACCGCAUGACGCCUGUGGGCCAAAGCCGCUGUGAGGUGGUGCCUGAUGAGGAGCCUGCGUCCGAUUAGCUAGUUGGUGGGGUAACGGCCUACCAAGGCUGCGAUCGGUAGCUGGUCUGAGAGGAUGAUCAGCCACACUGGGACUGAGACACGGCCCAG